rnacentral:lncRNA from 1 species
GUGGUGACCCAUUUGCCUGCAUACAAAUCGCACUGCUGCUCGUUGACGAAAAGGAUCGUCCCCUGUGCUGGCGGAGAGAGGAGGAAGACUGCAGUUGUAGCUAGUAGUAAGGAUAGUCUGAGAACAAAGUCGGCCAUUGGGAAAACAGGGGAGGAGAAUGCAGGGGUAGGGAGGGAGGAUUGAGUUUAAAUUGGGUUUGGUGAAGUAUGCAAUGUGUGUGAUUAUUGGGUGUGCGUAUGUAUUAAUGGCGAGCGUUUUAGUUACCUAGAAUAUUACCAUCGGCAUUAAAAACAUGUAAUUGAAA